GCCCCCGUGGCCCAGUGGUAGGGCACCGGACUUUUAAUCCGAGGGACGUGGGUUCGAUCCCCACCGGGGGCA
rnacentral:tRNA from 1 species